rnacentral:rRNA from 1 species
UACAGAGGGUGCGAGCGUUGUUCGGAAUCAUUGGGCGUAAAGGGCGUGUAGGCGGUUUGUUAAGUCAUGUGUGAAAUCCCUCGGCUCAACCGGGGAAGGACGCAUGAAACUGGCAAGCUAGAGUACCAAAGAGGGGGGUGGAAUUCCCGGUGUAGCGGUGAAAUGCGUAGAUAUCAAGAGGAACACCUGCGGCGAAGGCGGGUUGCUGGGCCGACACUGACGCUGAGGCGCGAAAGCUAGGGGAGCGAACGGG